GACGAACGCUGGCGGCGUGCCUAAUACAUGCAAGUUGAGCGCUGAAGGUUGGUACUUGUACCAACUGGAUGAGCAGCGAACGGGUGAGUAACGCGUGGGGAAUCUGCCUUUGAGCGGGGGACAACAUUUGGAAACGAAUGCUAAUACCGCAUAAAAACUUUAAACACAAGUUUUAAGUUUGAAAGAUGCAAUUGCAUCACUCAAAGAUGAUCCCGCGUUGUAUUAGCUAGUUGGUGAGGUAAAGGCGCACCAAGGCGAUGAUACAUAGCCGACCUGAGAGGGUGAUCGGCCACAUUGGGACUGAGACACGGCCCAAACUCCUACGGGAGGCAGCAGUAGGGAAUCUUCGGCAAUGGACGAAAGUCUGACUGAGCAACGCCGCGUGAGUGAAGAAGGUUUUCGGAUCGUAAAACUCUGUUGGUAGAGAAGAACGUUGGUGAGAGUGGAAAGCUCAUCAAGUGACGGUAACUACCCAGAAAGGGACGGCUAACUACGUG
rnacentral:rRNA from 1 species